CGUAACAAGGUCUCCGUAGGUGAACCUGCGGNNNNNNNNNNNNNNAAAUAUGAAGGCGGGCUGGAACCUCUCGGGGUUACAGCCUUGCUGAAUUAUUCACCCUUGUCUUUUGCGUACUUCUUGUUUCCUUGGUGGGUUCGCCCACCACUAGGACAAACAUAAACCUUUUGUAAUUGCAAUCAGCGUCAGUAACAAAUUAAUAAUUACAACUUUCAACAACGGAUCUCUUGGUUCUGGCAUCGAUGAAGAACGCAGCGAAAUGCGAUAAGUAGUGUGAAUUGCAGAAUUCAGUGAAUCAUCGAAUCUUUGAACGCACAUUGCGCCCUUUGGUAUUCCAAAGGGCAUGCCUGUUCGAGCGUCAUUUGUACCCUCAAGCUUUGCUUGGUGUUGGGCGUCUUGUCUCUAGCUUUGCUGGAGACUCGCCUUAAAGUAAUUGGCAGCCGGCCUACUGGUUUCGGAGCGCAGCACAAGUCGCACUCUCUAUCAGCAAAGGUCUAGCAUCCAUUAAGCCUUUUUUUCAACUUUUGACCUCGGAUCAGGUAAGGGAUACCCGCUGAACUUAAGCAUAUCA
rnacentral:rRNA from 1 species